rnacentral:rRNA from 1 species
AUGAACGCUGGCGGCGUGCCUAACACAUGCAAGUCGAGCGAUUCUCUUCGGAGAAGAGCGGCGGACGGGUGAGUAACGCGUGGGUAACCUGCCCUGUACACACGGAUAACAUACCGAAAGGUAUGCUAAUACGGGAUAACAUAAGAAAUUCGCAUGUUUUUCUUAUCAAAGCUCCGGCGGUACAGGAUGGACCCGCGUCUGAUUAGCUAGUUGGUGAGGUAACGGCUCACCAAGGCGACGAUCAGUAGCCGACCUGAGAGGGUGAUCGGCCACAUUGGAACUGAGACACGGUCCAAACUCCUACGGGAGGCAGCAGUGGGGAAUAUUGCACAAUGGGCGAAAGCCUGAUGCAGCAACGCCGCGUGAGCGAUGAAGGCCUUCGGGUCGUAAAGCUCUGUCCUCAAGGAAGAUAAUGACGGUACUUGAGGAGGAAGCCCCGGCUAACUACGUGCCAGCAGCCGCGGUAAUACGUAGGGGGCUAGCGUUAUCCGGAUUUACUGGGCGUAAAGGGUGCGUAGGCGGUCUUUUAAGUCAGGAGUGAAAGGCUACGGCUCAACCGUAGUAAGCUCUUGAAACUGGAGGACUUGAGUGCAGGAGAGGAGAGUGGAAUUCCUAGUGUAGCGGUGAAAUGCGUAGAUAUUAGGAGGAACACCAGUAGCGAAGGCGGCUCUCUGGACUGUAACUGACGCUGAGGCACGAAAGCGUGGGGAGCAAACAGGAUUAGAUACCCUGGUAGUCCACGCCGUAAACGAUGAGUACUAGCUGUCGGAGGUUACCCCCUUCGGUGGCGCAGCUAACGCAUUAAGUACUCCGCCUGGGGAGUACGCU